rnacentral:rRNA from 1 species
UAUCAGAAGUGCGAAUGCUGACAUGAGUAACGACAAUGCGAGUGAAAAACUCGCACGCCGAAAGACCAAGGUUUCCUGCGCAACGUUAAUCGACGCAGGGUUAGUCGGUCCCUAAGGCGAGGCUGAAAAGCGUAGUCGAUGGAAAACAGGUUAAUAUUCCUGUACUUCCAGUUAUUGCGAUGGAGGGACGGAGAAGGUUAGGCCAGCCUGGCGUUGGUUGUCCAG